rnacentral:rRNA from 1 species
UACGUAGGUGGCAAGCGUUGUCCGGAUUUACUGGGCGUAAAGGGAGCGUAGGCGGAUACUUAAGUGGGAUGUGAAAUACCUGGGCUUAACUUGGGUGCUGCAUUCCAAACUGGGUGUCUAGAGUGUUGGAGAGGAAAGUGGAAUUCCUAGUGUAGCGGUGAAAUGCGUAGAGAUUAGGAAGAACACCAGUGGCGAAGGCGACUUUCUGGACAAUAACUGACGCUGAGGCUCGAAAGCGUGGGGAGCAAACAGGAUUAGAUACCCUGGUAGUCCACGCCGUAAACGAUGGGUACUAGGUGUCGGAGGUCUCGACUCCUCCUGUGCCGCCGUUAACACAAUAAGUACCCCGCCUGGGGAGUACGGUCGCAAGAUUAAA